AGCGAACGCUGGCGGCAGGCUUAACACAUGCAAGUCGAACGCAUCCUUCGGGGUGAGUGGCAGACGGGUGAGUAACACGUGGGAACAUACCUUUUGGUUCGGAAUAACUCAUGGAAACGUGAGCUGAUACCGGAUACGCCCUUUUGGGGAAAGAUUUAUUGCCGAAAGAUUGGCCCGCGUCUGAUUAGCUAGUUGGGGAGGUAAUGGCUCACCAAGGCGACGAUCAGUAGCUGGUCUUAGAGGAUGAUCAGCCACACUGGGACUGAGAAACGGCCCAGACUCCUACGGGAGGCAGCAGUGGGGAAUAUUGGACAAUGGGCGCAAGCCUGAUCCAGCCAUGCCGCGUGAGUGAUGAAGGCCUUAGGGUUGUAAAGCUCUUUUAUCCGGGAAGAUAAUGACUGUACCGGAAGAAUAAGCCCCGGCUAACUUCGUGCCAGCCGCCGCGGUAA
rnacentral:rRNA from 1 species